UGAAAGAAUGGUGUUUAAUCUAUUUAUAUGUAAGUUUUUGCGUGAUUUAAUUAUUGACUAAUUUAGUCUUUUGUUUAUAAUUUAUUCGCAGUAUGUAUUUUUAUAAAUUUAUGAGAGUAUGAUUUAGGGAUUUAUAAAAGAUUUAACAAAGCUUGUGCCAGCAGUUGCGGUUAUACAAGUAAUUCAACUAUUCUUUUUCAAUUUGUAGUUAUUUGAUUAAAGUUUUAUAAGCAUAUAAAUCUAUUAGGUGAAAUUAUAGAUUUUUUUAAUUAUUAAUUUUAAAUUAGAAGCUAUGAAAUUUAAUUGUUAAACUAGGAUUAGAUACCCUAUUAUAAUUAAAUGUUAAAGUUAAAUUAAAUUAGUAUUAGUUAUGAUCUUGAAAAUUAAAAAAUUUGGCGGUGCUUUAGUCUUUUCAGAGGAACCUGUCCUGUAAUCGAUAGUCCACGAUUAAUUUUACUUGUUCUAUUAAUUUGUAUAUCGUCGUAGUUGAGUAUUUCAGUAAGAAUAUCAAUAUUCAUGAUUAAUCAUUAUUAAUAAAAUCAGAUCAAGGUGCAGUUUAUGAACAAGGUUGAGAUGGGUUACAAUAAAUUUAUUUAUAUGGAUUUUCUUAUGAAAUUGAGCUUUGAAGGUGGAUUUGUAAGUAAUAAAUUUAAUUUAAUAUUUAUGACUUAAGCUCUAAAGCAUGCACAUAUUGCCCGUCGCUUUCAUAUAAGUUGAAAUAAGUCGUAACAAAGUAGAUGUACUGGAAAGUGUUUCUGGGAUCAA
rnacentral:ncRNA from 1 species